rnacentral:rRNA from 1 species
CCUUCGGGUUGUAAAGCUUCUUUCGGCCGGAACGAAAUCGCGUACGUGAAUUAACGUGCGUGGUAUGACGGUACUGGGAAGAAGAAGCACCGGCUAACUACGUGC